rnacentral:rRNA from 1 species
CCUACGGGUGGCAGCAGUGGGGAAUAUUGCACAAUGGGGGAAACCCUGAUGCAGCGACGCCGCGUGAGCGAUUAAGUAUUUCGGUAUGUAAAGCCCUAUCAGCAGGGAAGAAAAUGACGGUACCUGACUAAGAAGCCCCGGCUAACUACGUGCCAGCAUCCGCUGUAAUACGUAGGGGGCAAGCGUUAUCCGGAUUUACUGGGUGUAAAGGGAGCGUAGACGGCGGUGCAAGCCAGAUGUGAAAGCUCGGGGCUCAACCCCGGGACUGCAUUUGUAACUGUGCUGCUAGAGUGUCGGAGAGGCAGGCGGAAUUCGUGGUGUAGCGGUGAAAUGCGUAGAUAUUAGGAGGAACACCAGUGGCGAAGGCGGCCUGCUGGACGAUGACUGACGUUGAGGCUCGAAAGCGUGGGGAGCAAACAGGAUUAGAUACCCGGGUAGUC